UACGAAGGGGGCUAGCGUUGCUCGGAAUUACUGGGCGUAAAGCGCACGUAGGCGGGUUCUUAAGUCGGUGGUGAAAUCCUGGAGCUCAACUCCAGAACUGCCUUCGAAACUGGGAAUCUUGAGUCCGGGAGAGGUGGGUGGAACUGCGAGUGUAGAGGUGAAAUUCGUAGAUAUUCGCAAGAACACCAGUGGCGAAGGCGGCUCACUGGCCCGGUACUGACGCUGAGGUGCGAAAGCGUGGGGAGCAAACAGG
rnacentral:rRNA from 1 species